rnacentral:tRNA from 1 species
GCUCCAAUAGCCCAAUCUGGCAGAGGCGACAGGCUUAGACCCUGGAGGUUGUGGGUUCGAAUCCCUCUUGGAGUACC